rnacentral:lncRNA from 1 species
UUACAUAGCACUUAUUAUUAUUUUUAUGCACAUACUUUGGAUUUAAACAUAGAAAAAUGUGUUUCCUUCAUCAUUUCAUUCUAGAUAAAUUAUUCAAGUUUGAUUGAUUUUCUAUAUUGAUCUAGUCUAAUGUGUGCAGGUCGAGUUACCCCAUUCACGAAUUAGUCCCAAUCUGUUCCAUGUGUGGAUUACUUUCUUCCACAUGUGCAUGAAGCUACCCAUU